GGGCUCGAACGUAAGAUGACUGUAGGUGAAAGCUUACAUCUCUUCGGAGCAUUUUACGAGGUGCUGCAUGGUUGUCGUCAGCUCGUGCCGUGAGGUGUCGGGUUAAGUCCCAUAACGAGCGCAACCCUACCUUUAGUUGCCAUCAGGUAAUGCUGGGGACUCUAAAGGAACUGCCUACGCAAGUAGUGAGGAAGGCGGGGAUGACGUCAAAUCAGCACGGCCCUUACGUCCAGGGCUACACACGUGCUACAAUGGCCGAUACAGAGGGCAGCUACCUGGUGACAGGAUGCAAAUCUCCAAAGUCGGUCUCAGUUCGGAUCGGAGUCUGCAACCCGACUCCGUGAAGUUGGAUUCGCUAGUAAUCGCGCAUCAGCCAUGGCGCGGUGAAUACGUUCCCGGGCCUU
rnacentral:rRNA from 1 species